rnacentral:rRNA from 1 species
UACGGGGGGGAGCAAGCGUUGUUCGGAUUUACUGGGCGUAAAGGGCGCGUAGGCGGCCACCGCAAGUCGGUUGUGAAUCUCCGGGCUUAACCCGGAAAGGUCAAUCGAUACUGCGGGGCUAGAGUACAGAAGGGGCAACUGGAAUUCUCGGUGUAGCGGUGAAAUGCGUAGAUAUCGAGAGGAACACCUGCGGCGAAGGCGGGUUGCUGGGCUGAUACUGACGCUGAGGCGCGAAAGCCAGGGGAGCAAACGGG